rnacentral:ncRNA from 2 species
AUCUUUGCGUUGUAUUGUGGUUAUACUUAAGUAGUUUACUGAGUAUAUUAAAAGGGAAUCAAGUGCCCACGGGGAAAUUUUCCGGUGUUUUAAUCUUGAGCUGUACCCGCAACUGUGAGCUUUGUUUCUUUAAUAUAGAAAUGCCUGUUAUUAUGCUUCAACCACUGCAAUUGUAACGAUUGCGGGAAGGUGAAUAACAGGACGCAAGCCAGGAGACCUGCCAUAGUAAUUAAUCAUUA